CAGCUCGGGGUCGCACUUCACUCCUCUCCCUGGUCAAACCGCAUUAAGGAAGGACAGAGGAGAAGAGUUAGAGCCGCCGAGUCCUCGUUGAGAAAACACACAAAAAAAGUCCAUAAAAGAGGUCUGAAGUCGGUCCCGUCUUCUCAUCACUAUCCGUUUGUGGAAGCUCCACAGGCAAGUCCACGAGGUGGAGUAUGGAGUAUAUGGACCACAGUAUGUUCAUUUUUGCCUGACUGCACCCCUCAUAGAGCUUUCGACCAUGUGAUGACACCUGAGCAAGUUCCAUAUGCUGAAGAAGACCCUGUAAUAUCAUCAAAAGCUUAGUGAAAAAGGCAGAGUCUUUCACUCUGUGUCUCUGCACCGCAGGACAUUAUUCCUCCUAUUACCUUUCAGAACUCCAAUCACCACAUGUCCUGUGGAGAAACAAAGCUGCGAGACUCAGUCAAAGAUGGAAACAGCGGAGGGAAUGUCAAUUUCCUCCAAUCGGCUCAGAGGAUAGUUUUUUUUCCUGCGGGGGAAGAUUAGGUUGAUGUCAAAUCUCAGAUCCAAUGAGCUAAAAUUUGCUGAAGAUAACCUGUGCUGAGUGAUAAUGGCUGAGGUAGGAGUGAAUAUCAAAAUGAGCUGAAAUCACUAUGAGACAGCUGUUUUAAAAUUGAUGUGAACCUAUUUUAAUUUGCCUACAAUCCCAUGAUAUUAACACAUCAUAGUUGCCAUUGUUAUUCCUCUUAGUAUCAAAUCAGCCGAGGAUAAGUCAAGGGAUGCCAAGAGUGUCCAUCAGAAUCCAUUAGUUGUCUGUUACUAAUUAACAGUGACUCCAGGGUUGAUUAAAAGAAAUCACCAAGCAGCAGCACACACCAUUAUGCUAAUGAAAACUCAUUUGGAAAAGCAGAGUGGGGGCGCCGGCAAGUAUUUGGACAACUUCACCGUGCAGCCGUGCUGGCUGGAGUAAAUGGCUUCUUGGACAGCAUAUCAUUACAGGACUGGAGGAGAAGGAAGCCUUGUGAUGGUGAUGAUGAUGGCAGAAUUUUAAUCAUGUUUAUCUUGUUCAAAGACUACACUGAUGGAUUAAUUCCCACACUGACUUUUUUUUUCUCCCCGCUUCUCAUUAACAUAUAUAUUUUUUGCCUGCACUUGCCCCGUGGCACAAACUACCAAAUAACUCCCUGGCAAGUGAAGAUAAGACAUGUUUGGCGUGUUUUAAUCAUAAUUGAUUUUUCUCAUCUAAUUAGAAACCCUUCAGGGGAAAUAACAAGGCACCAAACAAUCUCGUAAUCACCAAACAGCGAUUGCUUUGAUCCCAGUAAGUUUCGAUAUAAAGAUGUCAAAGAUGCUGCACUGACAGCAUGUUACAGACACCUGUUCGCUAAGAGAGAUUGAUCAUUCAUUACACAAGCAAUGCAAAAGUCAAUACUCCAUCAGCGAGCUCCAUAACACCACAAAACUCACCAUCAGCUCUCUGUAAGCCACAUGGAGCAUAAAAUUUGGUCAAACAAACAAAAAUACUUGACCUACCUUUACAAUGAAAAUUAAUGGAUCAGAAUAACUCACAAUGUUUCAUUAUGCAUGGUACUUCUUUAAAGGCCCUGAAAACCUAUUUAUUAAUCAGCUUCUUACUAUGAUGAUGGGGUCCUACAUAACUACACAGCUUUCUGCCAACACUGGAACAGUUUUGCCAAUUUCACAUGAGAGAUUUCUGUAUUUUGUGUUUUUAGCUGUGCUUUUCUCACUGGUUUGAAGUAGGU